GUCGCUGUUGAUCUUCAUGGGUCGUAGAGCCCUCGGGCAAGCUGCAAAACUGCGAUGCGGCGGUUCGAACCCGCCCGGCGCCUCCA
rnacentral:tRNA from 2 species